CGCCCUCGUGUUGCCCGUCCGCUUUGGCCGCUAGCGGACGCGGUGUCAAGAAGGGCGCAGAUGAGCGCUUGGCAGCCUUUCCGGCCCGCAGAUCGCGGUGGCUGCGGCGCUGGAGCUGCACAAGCAACAGCG